UACAGAGGUCUCAACCGUUGUUCGGAUUCAUUGGGCGUAAAGGGUGCGUAGGUGGUUGGGUAAGUCUGAUGUGAAAUCUCCGAGCUCAACUCGGAAACUGCAUCGGAUACUAUUCAACUCGAGGGUUGGAGGGGGGACUGGAAUACUUGGUGUAGCAGUGAAAUGCGUAGAUAUCAAGUGGAACACCAGUGGCGAAGGCGAGUCCCUGGACAACUCCUGACACUGAGGCACGAAAGCUAGGGGAGCAAAC
rnacentral:rRNA from 1 species